rnacentral:rRNA from 1 species
AGUGAACGCUGGCGGUAGGCCUAACACAUGCAAGUCGAACGGCAGCACAGUAAGAGCUUGCUCUUACGGGUGGCGAGUGGCGGACGGGUGAGGAAUACAUCGGAAUCUACUUUUUCGUGGGGGAUCACGUAGGGAAACUUACGCUAAUACCGCAUACGACCUACGGGUGAAAGCAGGGGAUCUUCGGACCUUGCGCGAUUGAAUGAGCCGAUGUCGGAUUAGCUAGUUGGCGGGGUAAAGGCCCACCAAGGCGACGAUCCGUAGCUGGCCUGAGAGGAUGAUCAGCCACACUGGAACUGAGACACAGUCCAGACUCCUACGGGAGGCAGCAGUGGGGAAUAUUGGACAAUGGGCGCAAGCCUGAUCCAGCCAUACCGCGUGGGUGAAGAAGGCCUUCGGGUUGUAAAGCCCUUUUGUUGGGAAAGAAAAGCAGCAGGUUAAUACCCCGCUGUUCUGACGGUACCCAAAGAAUAAGCACCGGCUAGCUUCGUG